CAGCCAAUCACACAACGCUCUAUUACUGUCCUCAUUUGCAAACCAGACUCUCUUCAAGAUAACAAAACCAGACCAGGUACUGGCAGGUACUCCUAUGUCCAUCUCUUCCAAAAUAUGUGUCGGCCAUGUACUGGACUUGCUUCCAACGCCGUCUGAUGUACAGGACAGAAUGGUGUCGUAGGUUCUACGUCUCCAGAAUAUCCUCCACCAUGCAGAGAGGAGGUCGUAGUGUCAGAUGGAGAGGUGAAUGUGUCUGAGAUGAUGGCAGCACCACUGAGGGGGACGCAUGGUGUCGCAGAUGGACACAGGGCAGACGAUUCCGGUCCUCUCUCUCUGACUGAGUCUAGCUCCACUCCUCGGGAAGCCCUCGCUUUACACUAGAAUAAUCAUCUUCCAAUAAAAACCAUGAGAAUAAAAUCCUAUGCAAAUCCUCCUGCAGGGAGGUCUAUCUCCUAUCCGACAGCAGGGAAUCUGAUGCAUCUAGACGUUGAUCUAGUCUGACUGGACUGGAAGUCUGUUGGGAUGAUGUCAUCCGUGACAACGUCUCUCUGUUUAGGUUUGAAGCAGACUUGCCAUACUGUAUAGGCCCUGGAAGACAGAGCAGGGGCAUGUGUGUGUUUGUAGACCAGGGGCAUGUGUGUUGAUGUGUGUGUUGUCUGGGUGGGUAUGCAUGUAAUGUAUACCAACAAGUGUCUUUAUGUGUGUGUGUAUGAGUUAUAUUGCAACGUGAGGGAGCCAACAUUAAUGUGUGUGUGUGUGUCUAUGCGUCAGCACAUUAUGAGGAAAUGUCUGAGUAGAUCAGUGUAUGUGAUUAAUGUUGGCAGCGUGGGCUGCCUUUGUGAGGAGGGGAGGGGGUGGACCUGGGUGCAUGGCCUGGUUUUCCCAGAGUGUAGAUGAAUCACGACAGCUGCAGGAAUGUCCGGCACUCCUCAUUUGCUGCCCCGUGCUGGAUAAGCCUCUCACUUCCCAAUACAUUUAUGGUAAAACCACAGCCCAGUGUUUAUAUUUACAUAAGGACAGCAGCAGGCAAAACAUUCCUGUGCGCGUGUGUGUGUGUGUGUGAUGACAGCCUCCAGUUACACCUUCUCCCAAUAUUAUCUGUUCACUUUACCCCCUCAGUCUGUCUACACACACACCUGCAUGCAAGCAUAUACUGUAUGCACACACACUGGCACAUACAACAGGCACUGGUGGCAUGUUCUGUACACACACACACACAAACACAGGCAUCCAUGCACACUGACAUAGAUUAGACACACAUACUCUACACAAUCAUAAAUACAGUGGCAUGCAACCAGCAACAAAGGCAUUCAUCCAUGACUACAUGGUGAUUGAUGAGGGAGGUAGGACAGACAGCAGACAGGCAACACAAAUAUAUGACCACACAUAAAACUAAUCAACUCUACACACACAGAGACCGGUAGAUUACAUUAAAUACACACUCAUAAACAAGCCAGACACACACUAAUAGACAUUCUGUCCAUAUAUCUGCAGUAGAGGUUUUCAGGAGGGAAGCUAGGACAAUGACAGUGGCUUGGCUGGGGACUCGGGCCUUGGUUAGACUCGGCUCCUGCCAGAUGGAAUUGAGCAGCUUGUGCCAGCGAGCGGUCCUGUGGAGACGUGUGUCUCUGUGAAGGGCAGGUAUAACUCAGUCAGCCGGCUCAGGCUAGGGCUGCUCUCAGCUCAGGACUGUACUAAUGCUUCUGUUUCUAAUUCAUAUUUAUGAUCAGUUUGAUGAUUUAACACUAUUAGCACAUAGUAUUUUUUACUCUUAAUGUAAAAUGGUGUUUAUAAACACAAGCAAUAAGUAAAUGGAGGUUAGAUGUGAAGUCAAAAUGGAGCAUGCCAGUGUAGGAAAAACAACGAUUAAAUAUUAACUCUGGAUAUACAAAAUAAAGGAUGAAACCAAUACCGGUGGAACACUUUCACACUUGACUUGGGGGAGGGCUGUUUCAGAUGUUAUCCAUCUAAGACAGGUAGUCAAAGCAGAUCAUUAUCGAAGCCGCUGUGGUUAUUUCAACCUUACAAAAGUGACACAGAGCACUGUAAAGGCUUUUAUAGAUGUAUACUGUGAGUAUGACCACCAACAGUAAAAGCAGGAGCAGACAUGGAGAGGUAAGACAUGUAUAGACUGUUACACGCAGACCGAUAGAUUCUAUCAGACAUAGAUGGGACACCCUCCCUUACAAGAGAGCUCUGUCAGCACAAAGAGCACUCCUUCCUCCUUUUCCCUCCUAACUUCCCUUUCUCUUCAUCCCUUUGUUCUUCUAUCUGCUGCCAUCUCUCCUCCUCCUCUAGUCUCAAAGUGGAGCCACGUCCCUAAACCUUUGCCAUGGUGAUCCCCCUCUAUCACCACUUCUCCCCUGUCUCCAGGCACCACAGUCUACUGCCAAGCCCAGAUACAGGUGUGGCGAGGCGGGUGAAGGUAGGACAACACAGGGCUGUAGCUAGUUAGUAAGAUUAGCUAAGCGGACCAAGCGACGCCACUGGGUUAGUACCUGCCAGAGGAGGGGACUGGGCCUUGGCCAGAACAGUAGCCUGUGUCCCGGGGUAUCCCCCCGCUGUAGAGACCCAGGGGUACCCCGCUGUCCCCAGGUUGUUUGUGGAUGACACUGUAAAUAGGUUCAGGCCUGGUGGGGGAGUACAGAAAUCACAGUGAAUGGGGCUUGAGUAGGACACAAACACAGAACACACAUGUACAGUAUACGGGACAAUUACACAGGACAAAUACACAUACAUACAUGCACAUAUAUAGAAACUGCUACACACAAACAUUGUAAAACUACACAGUCAGAUACACACAUAAACACACUCCCACAUGAACCAUACAGUCAUUGCCACACAUUGCACAUGCACACACACACACACAAUAGCUCGGGAUAUUAAUGUGACUCUGAAGCUCUCAAAUCAAGCUCUGUGAAUGUUGUUUCAGUGUUUGGCCAAGAGGUCGUAAGACAGAACAAGGAGGAGGGACUUUGGGAUGAGAGGGCUUCUUUGAGGUAUUUGGGCUAUACAUUGCCACCUCAGACAAAACUGAACCCUCCUUGCCCAGCUAGUCAACCAGAGACAAACACAUUGCCACACUGUUGGAGGCCCACUAAACUACAUCAAUCUACAUACAUAUCACCAAAGAAAGCCACAACACCGGGGAACGCCAGGUAAAGCAACGGUCACCACACCAAAAUUAAAUAAUUAAUAUUCUAAAUUUCACAACAAAAAUCCCUCUUACUGCGCUCUGGUGGCCCUGUGCUAUUUUGACACGAGAAAGUGACUCUAACCCUGGAUUGUCAAAACUACUCUUAAAACUUACAUUCACAUGGUAAACAACAUAUUAUAAACUGGGUGGUUUGAGCCCUGAAUGCUGAUUCAGAAUGCUGAAUGCUGAAUGCUGACAGCCAUGGUAUAUUAGAUCGCAUACCAUAAGUAUGGCAAAGCAUUUAUUUUUUACUGCUCUAAUUACGUUGGUAACCAGUUUAUAAUAGCAAUAAGGCACC